GACAGAGGGUGCAAACGUUGUUCGGAAUUACUGGGCGUAAAGCGCGUGUAGGCGGCCCAGCAAGUCGGAUGUGAAAGCCCUGGGCUUAACCUAGGAAGUGCAUUCGAAACUGCUGGGCUUGAGUUCUGGAGAGGAAGGCGGAAUUCUCGGUGUAGAGGUGAAAUUCGUAGAUAUCGAGAGGAACACCGGUGGCGAAGGCGGCCUUCUGGACAGUGACUGACGCUGAGA
rnacentral:rRNA from 1 species